rnacentral:rRNA from 1 species
AUUGAACGCUGGCGGCAGGCUUAACACAUGCAAGUCGAGCGGGGAAGGGUAGCUUGCUACCUAACCUAGCGGCGGACGGGUGAGUAAUGCUUAGGAAUCUGCCAUUUAGUGGGGGACAACAUUCCGAAAGGAAUGCUAAUGCCGCAUACGUCCUACGGGAGAAAGCAGGGGAUCUUCGGACCUUGCGCUAAAUGAUGAGCCUAAGUCGGAUUAGCUAGUUGGUGGGGUAAAGGCCUACCAAGGCGACGAUCUGUAGCGGGUCUGAGAGGAUGAUCCGCCACACUGAGACUGGGACACGGCCCAGACUCCUACGGGAGGCAGCGGUGGGGAAUAUUGGACAAUGGGCGGAAGCCUGAUCCAGCCAUGCCGCGUGUGUGAAGAAGGCCUUAUGGUUGUAAAGCACUUUAAGCGAGGAGGAGGCUACCUAGAUUAAUACUCUAGGAUAGUGGACGUUACUCGCAGAAUAAGCACCGGCUAACUCUGUGCCAGCAGCCGCCGUAAUAC